GACGAACGCUGGCGGCAGGCCUAACACAUGCAAGUCGAGCGAGAACCCACCUUCGGGUGGCAGACAGCGGCGGACGGGUGAGUAACGCGUGGGAAUGUGCCCUUCGGUAAGGAAUAGCCCCGGGAAACUGGGAUUAAUACCUUAUAAUAUCUACGGAUCAAAGAUUUAUCGCCGAAGGAUCAGCCCGCGUUGGAUUAGCUUGUUGGUGAGGUAAUGGCUCACCAAGGCUACGAUCUAUAGCUGGUCUGAGAGGAUGAUCAGCCACACUGGAACUGAGACACGGUCCAGACUCCUACGGGAGGCAGCAGUGGGGAAUAUUGGGCAAUGGGGGAAACCCUGACCCAGCCAUGCCGCGUGAGUGAAGAAGGCCCUAGGGUUGUAAAACUCUUUCGAUAGUGAAGAUGAUGACUGUAGCUAUUAAAGAAGCCCCGGCUAACUUCG
rnacentral:rRNA from 1 species